UUCAAUCCCAAAUGACCCCGUUUCUUUUAAGUUUAACCGCAGUCAUUGGAUUUUUAUCAUCCAAUGGCCCGGAACUGGUUUGUCACUUACUAUGAGACUAUCCUAAAUCAGCUGGACCCCCUCCCCAAAACCAAACCCUCUCACUCUCCAUCUCUUUCUGAAAAUCACCCCAAACCCUAGCCACCUCACAUUCCCACGUUGCCUCCUCCGUGAAUCACCAUCGGAAAUCGCCUCACGGCAGUUCCGGUGGUCCAACCGCCCCAUAAUAACACCCUGAAAUUCCUACAAUCCCCUCAUCCUAAAUUUCAACUCCUUUUCCUCUGAAUCACCGCCGAAUUUUUUGAAUUUUGAAUCAAAGGAUCCGCCCAAAACCCCAAUUGCUAGAAAUCAUGCCAAAUUAACAUUCUACAGCCCUUAGCCCUCUCUAAGCCCUAAGAAACCUUUAGCCUUAUCCAAAUCAGUUCCUCUUUGGCCGAAUUUAAGAUCCUAGAUUCAAAAGCCCUGAAAGACCCCUGCCUGAAUCGAUUCAGGAUUUUAAUGGCUCUAUUCUACAUGAGUCGACUGCUUUUGAUAAGAGCAUUUGACUCAAGUGGAUUGGACCUGUUGUUCGAAGUGGCUUGACUCCUACCAAGUUCUUCGGCUCUAUUUGUUCUGUUAUAGGUAAUUGUCCGAAUUUUCCGGAUUUUUCUUUCCAUCUUAUCCUCCUUUUCUUUUCCCCCUAGCCAUUUCUUUUUUUCCCCUUCUGUUUGACUUUCCUUUGAGUUUUAUUCUAUCUGCAAAUUGCAUAUUUUAGGUUUUCUGCUUUACAUUAAUCGUGAUGUUUUAGGUGUUAUUUUAGAUUAGCUUAUCUUGUUACUCAGUUUCUUCUAUGGUUUCAUUUCUUCUUCUUUUCUAAUUACAUCUCUGACUAAUUGCGUGUUUAGGUUAAUUUUAGAUUUUUGUUCACUUGUUUAGAUUAAGUUAAAAUUUGUUUACUUGUGCGUAUGUUUAAUGAUCUUCAUUUGAAUUUCAUGAUAAUGAGCUUUCAUCCAUGUUUGUUUCAUUUUUUUAAACGUUCCAGAUUAUGUCCAAGCAAAUCGAGUCUGCUUUUAAAUUUUAUUUUCUCAAUGGUCUUUCCUUGGAUAUUUUUAUGUAUGCUGAUUUUGGCCCUACGGUAAUAGUCUUAAAUUUCCAAUCAUUAGAAACCUUAGUGACCUAAGUGAACAUAGAAAUUUUAGAUAAAGGCGGUAAUAAGCAGCUUUUAAAAGUGUAGUAUAGUUUUUUUUGUUUUAAAAAUAUCAGAAUACUCUAGAAAUAGGGGCACCUGGCCUCAUUUGGUUAGUACAAAGUACUGAAACCAAUGGGAAAAGAAUAGAUGUUCCAAUCCUGUUUGGAAGAUGCUGUUUAUGGUUAAAGAAUGAUUCCAUCAGCAUGAGGCCUUAUAUACCUCUAUCUAUAGUGCCUUCCAUAUAAAAUUUCACAGACUCAACACCAUUAUCUAUAAAAAAAUUUCUUUCAUUUCUGGAUUUCAGACUUAAGAAAAUCUUAGACAAACUUCAGAAAAAAAAAAAAAAAAACUGCUGCUGUUAAUAGGGGGAAAAUGAGUUGAAAAGAAGAAUUUCUUAAGUUUUGUUAGGACUUUUGAUUUUUCAAGUGGCAUUUUGUUCUUGAAAUUUCGGGGUUUCAUUGGUUUUGCUAAAGUUUUUUUGUCAUUGUUGCUGCUUCCUGCUCCUAAGACUUUUCCAACAAUCUUACCCUCAUUACAGUUGUUAUUUAAUUGUUGUGUCAAGGUACAUGUGAAUCUCUCCCUGUAUUGACUGCCAUGUAAUUGAGACUAAAGAGAAUAUGACUUCAUUCACCUUGUUUGACACUGUUCAUGUAUGUCUUGUUAACUCUUGCACACUGAAAUUGUAAUGGUGUUGGGGUUGUUCUUUAUCUCAAAAUGCUUAAAAUUUUUUGCCCCCUAUCUUUUGUAAUAAUGCUUUAACCUCUUUGAUAGUGUUAAUUCUCUCCUGCCAGUAUGUAUUGCUUUUUGUUCUUGCAAUGAUUAGUCCAUAUAUUCAAGCUUUCCCCUCCCAAAAACCAGGCCAGUUCAUUAAGCCUGACCCCUUAUAGCUUGGAACUUGUGGUGUUUCAGGUAUUUAACCGUUAACAUGGUUAAACUCAUGAAUCAUUACUAGUUUCUGCGUUAGGUGUAUAAGAGCUGGGUCAGACAGUAUAGAAUGCUAGUAUAACUGAAGUAUUUUUGUGAAUUUGACCUUUUCACAUGGUCAGAUCCAUGAAAAAAUACUUAGAAAAUAGAGAACAGAGGUUGAUUUGUUAGUGAGAAACUUUAGGUUGGGAGUCUAAGCAGCUCACUAGCUGACCUCUUGCAGAUCUCAUGCUUUGGUCUUGAAGAAAUCGGUGGAAGGAAUUUGAAACCAGAAAAAGCUUUCAAUUGUUUUUCACUUCUUUACUUUCUUUAAGAAUUUCCUUUAGAUAAUAGAUGUUAGGAUACUGAUUAAAGGCUUCAAUAUAUAAAUUGUGGGACUUUCAAUACUGUAAUAACUUUUUUAUUUAAGCUUGAUUAUCAGUAGGCUUACACUAAUAAAUUUUAUUUGUUUGGUGCAAUUAAUAUGUUUGGGAAUGUAUGUAUAUUUCAAACAGGGUUGCACUUGCAAGCAGGCCCAAGUAUUAGGCUCAUUCAAGCAAGUCCGACCAGGGCCAUUGGGCCUAGGCAGUUGGAUUUCCAGCUUUAUCCCAGUAUCAGUUAUUUUUAUUUGCUGAUUACCACUACAUAUCUAUUGUGUCUUGAAAUUUAAUAUGAUAGAAUAAAUUUUGGAACCAAUAUUGCCUUGGUUUUUCUUCCAAAGAGUGGUUUUAUUUUCAGCCUUUUUCCUUCACUAAUUCAUAUAGAUAGAGUGAAAGGCGGAUAGACCCAAAUUAGAGAAUGUAUCCAUCUA
rnacentral:lncRNA from 1 species